rnacentral:rRNA from 1 species
AAUCCAUAGGUUAAUGAGGCGAACCGGGGGAACUGAAACAUCUAAGUACCCCGAGGAAAAGAAAUCAACCGAGAUUCCCCCAGUAGCGGCGAGCGAACGGGGAGGAGCCCAGAGCCUGAAUCAGCAUGUGUGUUAGUGGAAGCGUCUGGAAAGGCGCGCGAUACAGGGUGACAGCCCCGUACACAAAAGCGCAUGUGCUGUGAGCUCGAUGAGUAGGGCGGGACACGUGGUAUCCUGUCUGAAUAUGGGGGGACCAUCCUCCAAGGCUAAAUACUCCUGACUGACCGAUAGUGAACCAGUACCGUGAGGGAAAGGCGAAAAGAACCCCGGCGAGGGGAGUGAAAAAGAGCCUGAAACCGUGUACGUACAAGCAGUGGGAGCACCCUUCGGGGUGUGACUGCGUACCUUUUGUAUAAUGGGUCAGCGACUUAUAUUCUGUAGCAAGGUUAACCGUAUAGGGGAGCCGGAGGGAAACCGAGUCUUAACCGGGCGUUAAGUUGCAGGGUAUAGACCCGAAACCCGGUGAUCUAGCCAUGGGCAGGUUGAAGGUUGGGUAACACUAACUGGAGGACCGAACCGACUAAUGUUGAAAAAUUAGCGGAUGACCUGUGGCUGGGGGUGAAAGGCCAAUCAAACCGGGAGAUAGCUGGUUCUCCCCGAAAGCUAUUUAGGUAGCGCCUCGUGAAUUCAUCUCCGGGGGUAGAGCACUGUUUCGGCUAGGGGGCCAUCCCGGCUUACCAACCCGAUGCAAACUGCGAAUACCGGAGAAUGUUAUCACGGGAGACACACGGCGGGUGCUAACGUCCGUCGUGAAGAGGGAAACAACCCAGACCGCCAGCUAAGGUCCCAAAGUCAUGGUUAAGUGGGAAACGAUGUGGGAAGGCCCAGACAGCCAGGAUGUUGGCUUAGAAGCAGCCAUCAUUUAAAGAAAGCGUAAUAGCUCACUGGUCGAGUCGGCCUGCGCGGAAGAUGUAACGGGGCUAAACCAUGCACCGAAGCUGCGGCAGCGAACGUAUCACCCAAGACAACUUUACGGAGUUGACGAUUGACGGAGCGAAGCGACGUCAAAGCGUUCAUUAAAGUCGAGUUGGCUUAGGGAUACGUUCGUUGGGUAGGGGAGCGUUCUGUAAGCCUGUGAAGGUGUGUCGUGAGGCAUGCUGGAGGUAUCAGAAGUGCGAAUGCUGACAUAAGUAACGAUAAAGCGGGUGAAAAGCCCGCUCGCCGGAAGACCAAGGGUUCCUGUCCAACGUUAAUCGGGGCAGGGUGAGUCGACCCCUAAGGCGAGGCCGAAAGGCGUAGUCGAUGGGAAACGGGUUAAUAUUCCCGUACUUGGUGUUACUGCGAAGGGGGGACGGAGAAGGCUAUGUUGGCCGGGCGACGGUUGUCCCGGUUUAAGCGUGUAGGUGUGUGUUCCAGGUAAAUCCGGUUCACUUUAACACUGAGGCGUGACGACGAGGCACUACGGUGCUGAAGCAACAAAUGCCCUGCUUCCAGGAAAAGCCUCUAAGCAUCAGGUAACAUCAAAUCGUACCCCAAACCGACACAGGUGGUCAGGUAGAGAAUACCAAGGCGCUUGAGAGAACUCGGGUGAAGGAACUAGGCAAAAUGGUGCCGUAACUUCGGGAGAAGGCACGCUGACACGUAGGUGAAGUGAUUUACUCAUGGAGCUGAAGUCAGUCGAAGAUACCAGCUGGCUGCAACUGUUUAUUAAAAACACAGCACUGUGCAAACACGAAAGUGGACGUAUACGGUGUGACGCCUGCCCGGUGCCGGAAGGUUAAUUGAUGGGGUCAGCGCAAGCGAAGCUCCUGAUCGAAGCCCCGGUAAACGGCGGCCGUAACUAUAACGGUCCUAAGGUAGCGAAAUUCCUUGUCGGGUAAGUUCCGACCUGCACGAAUGGCGUAAUGAUGGCCAGGCUGUCUCCACCCGAGACUCAGUGAAAUUGAACUCGCUGUGAAGAUGCAGUGUACCCGCGGCAAGACGGAAAGACCCCGUGAACCUUUACUAUAGCUUGACACUGAACAUUGAGCCUUGAUGUGUAGGAUAGGUGGGAGGCUUUGAAGUGUGGACGCCAGUCUGCAUGGAGCCGACCUUGAAAUACCACCCUUUAAUGUUUGAUGUUCUAACGUGGACCCGUAAUCCGGGUUGCGGACAGUGUCUGGUGGGUAGUUUGACUGGGGCGGUCUCCUCCUAAAGAGUAACGGAGGAGCACGAAGGUUGGCUAAUCCUGGUCGGACAUCAGGAGGUUAGUGCAAUGGCAUAAGCCAGCUUGACUGCGAGCGUGACGGCGCGAGCAGGUGCGAAAGCAGGUCAUAGUGAUCCGGUGGUUCUGAAUGGAAGGGCCAUCGCUCAACGGAUAAAAGGUACUCCGGGGAUAACAGGCUGAUACCGCCCAAGAGUUCAUAUCGACGGCGGUGUUUGGCACCUCGAUGUCGGCUCAUCACAUCCUGGGGCUGAAGUAGGUCCCAAGGGUAUGGCUGUUCGCCAUUUAAAGUGGUACGCGAGCUGGGUUUAGAACGUCGUGAGACAGUUCGGUCCCUAUCUGCCGU